ACCACGAUGAAGAGAACUGAUGUUCCCUUCUGAGAGCGAAGCGGGCAGUGAGUGAUGAUGCAUUUCAUCCGCUCCUUGCCGUUGAUGACCGUUCCAUGCUCUCUAGUGGAGCCUGGAGGUAGGGAUCAUGAUCAAAGUGG
rnacentral:snoRNA from 10 species